CCUACGGGAGGCAGCAGUGGGGAAUAUUGGACAAUGGGCGAAAGCCUGAUCCAGCCAUGCCGCGUGUGUGAAGAAGGCCUUCGGGUUGUAAAGCACUUUCAGUGGGGAAGAAAGCCUUGGGGCUAAUACCCUCGAGGAAGGACAUCACCCACAGAAGAAGCACCGGCGUAACUCCGUGCCAGCAGCCGCGGUAAUACGGAGGGUGCGAGCGUUAAUCGGAAUUACUGGGCGUAAAGCGCGCGUAGGCGGUCUGAUAAGCCGGUUGUGAAAGCCCCGGGCUCAACCUGGGAACGGCAUCCGGAACUGUCAGGCUAGAGUGCAGGAGAGGAAGGUAGAAUUCCCGGUGUAGCGGUGAAAUGCGUAGAGAUCGGGAGGAAUACCAGUGGCGAAGGCGGCCUUCUGGACUGACACUGACGCUGAGGUGCGAAAGCGUGGGUAGCAAACAGGAUUAGAUACCCGAGUAGC
rnacentral:rRNA from 1 species